UUGAGGAUAGGGAUUGUCUUUGUUUCUGCUUUAUCCCAGAGCUUGGUACAGUAUCCAACUCUUCAUGACCCCAUUUGAGGUUUUAUUGGCAGAGAUACUUGGAGUGGCUUGUCAUUUCCUUCUUGAGAUCAUUUUACAGAAAAGGAAACUGGGUGAAGUGACUUGCCCAGGAUCGAACAGCUAAGUUUCUGAUCGCAGAUUUGAAUGCAGGAUGCUGAGUCUUCCUGAUUCCAAACCCAGUGCUCUGUGGACUGUACCACCUAAGCUGCCCAGCUGGUACAAAGUGGGAAAGAUCCUUAUCCUGGUCCCUGAGUGAGAUCUCGAUCAUUUGGGGCAAUAGCAGGAAUAUUGCUGCUAGAUCUUAGACACAGAAUGGACUCCCCAUUCCCCACUCCCCUCCUCUGUCAGGGUCAGGCACAAGGAGGGCCCUGCUCCUAAAACCUCAGGCCUGAAGACAGACUUUGAGCCCACCCUAGCCACUACCUGCACCUCUAAGGAGGGGAAAGGGGGAGCAUCUUUCCGGAGGGUAACCUGCUGAUCCCAAGAGAGGAAUUUUCAGUCUUAUUGGAGUCACUGUCUCAUCAAGCUCUAUCCAG